GACGAACGCUGGCGGCGUGCUUAACACAUGCAAGUCGAACGGUAAGGCUCCAGCUUGCUGGGGUACACGAGUGGCGAACGGGUGAGUAACACGUGGGUGACCUGCCCUGCACUUCGGGAUAAGCCUGGGAAACUGGGUCUAAUACCGGAUAGGACCAUGGUGUGGAUACUGUGGUGGAAAGUUUUUUCGGUGUGGGGUGGGCCCGCGGCCUAUCAGCUUGUUGGUGGGGUAAUGGCCUACCAAGGCGGCGACGGGUAGCCGGCCUGAGAGGGUGGACGGCCAAAUUGGGACUGAGACACGGCCCAGACUCCUACGGGAGGCAGCAGUGGGGAAUAUUGCACAAUGGGCGGAAGCCUGAUGCAGCGACGCCGCGUGGGGGAUGACGGCCUUCGGGUUGUAAACUCCUUUCACCAUCGACGAAGGGUUUCUGACGGUAGAUGGAGAAGAAGCACCGGCUAACUACGUG
rnacentral:rRNA from 1 species